rnacentral:lncRNA from 1 species
AUUUCCUGUUGUGCUUGUGCGUUUGUUUUGCACCGCAUGUUGUUUCCCCUGUGUUUGGGACACUUUAUUUUGUGUGCGCAUUAUUUCACUGUUUGGGGUGGCUUGUGUGUGCUCGCCUGUUUGAACCAUUAAAUAGCCACUUCCCUGUGCUCGCUGCUUCCUGCGUUUGAUUCCUCACUCACGACGCCCGAGCCUUACACACCCAAGGAUGAACCAGACUUGUGGAGGUCUACAAUUUUCUUUCUGAGGUCUUGGCUGUUUUCUUUUGAUUUUCCCAUGAUGUCAAGCAAAGACACACUGAGUUUGAAGCAAGAACAACAGGAGGAGCAGCAGGAGGAGCGGAGACCAAUACUAUUCAGUGAUUGAGCUGCCAGUGCGAACCAACUAUAUCACUCGGCAGAUCUAUGAAAAUUGAUUAAUCACCAAGCCCGUGCCUGGAAUCGGCUUGGGGGGGCAUCCUGACCUUCGGCUGCAUCUGCAUCCAGCACUUCUUCAUCCUCAACAGCAUCUGAUAAGAACAAGGGUCAAGUCUGCUACUCAACCAUGAGCCUGAAUUUGCCUAGUGGUGCUCGUAUAAUGAUUCCUAAAGAAACAAACAAGAGGCUGCCGAGGGGAGGACGGCUUACAAUAAUAUCCGGAACGGAGUGAAUGGAAUGUCAUCAAACACAUGGAAACUAUGGAUAUGUCCGAAUACCCGUACUUGGGUUCUAAAUAGUAGCCAUUUGGGGUAUGCAAAUUGUUUUAUUUAUUAUUGUACGUGAAAUUUAACAAAUGUAGUAUGAUUUAAACGCCAAGAUGUCAUACUCAUUUAUGCUUUUAUGUAGUAGAAUUUUCUGCACACUAUUGAGGAACAGAAUUAUCUUUCCUGACACCUGUGUCUGACAACAGCUGAUAAUCAGCUGAGGGGACACGCUGUAGAAAAAUGUGUGAAUCUGUGUAAAUCAACGCAAUUGCGCAUUGUAUGAUGUAUACUCAGUAGGAUGAGCCUAGUAUGCUGAUAUUUGUUUCUUACUGCAUUUGUUUUUACUAAACAGUACAUUCUAAAUAGUGUGUAGUAUGAUUAGUACACAGUAUGUAGUUUAAGUAAGUAGUAGGCAAAACAGAUUUCGGACACAGCCCAUGUGUUUGAUGUAUUUGAUACAAUUCCACUCUUUCCGCUCCAGCCAUUACCACGAGCCCUUCCUCCCUAAUUAAAAUCAUCAUGAGUCUAUUGACGCACGCAUGCAGUCUGUUUAAGCUAGAGAUAUCUGUUUUUUGGCAUGGGCUGCAUCUCAAUCCUCCGCAUCCGCCUAUUUCAGCCUGACGCAUCUGCGGGGACAGGUGGCAGAGCUAGAGCAAUGUCUAUCAGACCAUGAGACAUCCCGUAAAUCGGGUCUUCUCACGAAAAACGCUGUAGCGUCCAAACAGUUUGACGGGAUAUGUCUGAAGGUAACCCAUACAAACGAAUGGAGGUAGUUUUGUGCCAACAAAAAUAAGGGGUUAAAUAUGUGUUUUGAAAAAAAUAUAGAUAUAUACAGCACCACUCAACAUUUUGGAC